AUAACCACCCACCCUAUAAAACACCACCAAAUAAAACAAUUUAAUAUUAAUCUCUAAAUUAUUUAAUAAAUUUAAAGUACUAAAAAGGAAACAACUAAUAAUUUUAAGUAGUGAAUAACUCACGUACCUUGUGCAUUAUGGUUUUACAAGCUUAUAAUUAAAAAUAAUCUCCCGAAUUCUACGCGAGCUGCUUCCAUAUAGCUAAGAGCCCACUACUAGUUGUGGCAACAACUUUAGAAAAUAUGGUAGCAGGGGCUACAUACCACACGCGCUAGAAAAUUGCUGGUUUUCAGUAAAAUUUAUAAAUUAAAACAUGCAGUGAAUACUGCAAUGUAAGACCUCAGAGGAUAAGCCCUGUGGUCUAAAGCUAGAUAAACACAUAAAUAUUUAAAUAGGCCUAAAAUCAGCCAUCCGCAGUACUUUACCGUACACUACAUAUAAUAUAUAUUCUUCGUGCUUCAAAAAACUGAAAUUUGUGGACAAUUUAAAACCUUAAAAUAUUAUGUAAAAAUAAGUAUUAAUAAAUUUCAAUAA
rnacentral:rRNA from 1 species